ensembl:misc_RNA Metazoa_SRP Metazoan signal recognition particle RNA
GCCGGGCACAGUGGUGUGUGCCUGUAGUCCCAGCUACUCGGGAGGCUGAGGCUGUAGGUUGGCUUGAGCCCAGGAGUUCUGGGUUGUAGUGCACUAUGCCGAUCAGGUGUUCGGUAUAAAUAUGGUGACCUCCCGGGAGCGAGGGACCACCAGGUUGCCUAAGAAGGGGUGAACAGGCCCAGGUCGAAAACGGAGCAGAUCAGUAGUGGGAUUGUGCCUGUGAAUAGCCACUGCACUCCAGCCUGGGCAACAUAGCAAGACCCCGUCUCU